GAAAUGCGAUAAGUAAUGUGAAUUGCAGAAUUCAGUGAAUCAUCGAAUCUUUGAACGCACAUUGCGCCCCCUGGUAUUCCGGGGGGCAUGCCUGUUCGAGCGUCAUUUCAUCACUCAAGCCUCGCUUGGUAUUGGGCGACGCGGUCCGCCGCGCGCCUCAAAUCGACCGGCUGGGUCUUCCGUCCCCUCAGCGUUGUGGAAACUAUUCGCUAAAGGGUGCCGCGGGAGGUCACGCCGCAAAACAACCCCAUUUCUAAGGUUGACCUCGGAUCAGGUAGGGAUACCCGCUGAACUUAAGC
rnacentral:misc_RNA from 1 species